UACAGUACCGUGUACCCGUGAACGGCGAGAGCGAGCAACUACAAUAGAAGUCUAUGAUAGUUUCAAAAUGUUUUUUUUUAGCGCCGAAUCCAUUAUCACUGACCACCACCACCACGAUAAAAGACAAUGAAUCGCGGCACGAAACAACCAAAGGGGGGAGCCGAGAAAAAGAGAGAGAAAACAAAGAUAGCACGUUUCACAACGCCAGUAUACAAACGAGAAAUCAUCGAGAAAAUGUUUAGAUCCAUUUUUGGACUAAAAUUCUUUGCAAGACCUCGGUCUUCAGGAGAUAUGGACUCUUCUUCGAAGAAGUCCAAACGAAGGAGUGAGAGACCUUCAUCUCCUGAAGACCUCAACCCUCCCACCAUCUUGAGGGAGCACGGACGACGGGGUGAGAGACCUUCGUCUAGUGGAGGCACCAACCCUUCUACCAUCAUGAAGGAGCACAGGCAAAGGGGUGAGAGCCCUUUGUCUUGUGCAGAAAACCAGCCCUCUAUCACCAGGCAGCAAGAACGAAGGAAUGUGAGCUCUUUGUUCAUCGUGGGCACCAACCCUUCUACCAUCAUGAAGGAGCACAGGCAAAAGGGUGAGAGCCCUUUGUCUUGUGCAGAAAACAAGCCCUCUACCACCAGGCAGCAAAUACGAAGGGGUGAGAGCCCUUCCUCUUCAUCCUCUGAAGACGACCAGCCUUCUUCCACCAGGCAGCGAGUACGAAGGUUUGAGAGCCCUUCCUCUUCAUCCUCUGAAGACGACCAGCCUUCUACUCCAAGGCGGAAGCAAGCAUGGAGAGGUGAGAGCCCUCCGUCUUCAUCUUCUGAAGACGACCAGCCUUCUUCCACCAGGCAGCGAGUACGAAGGUUUGAGAGCCCUUCCUCUUCAUCCUCUGAAGACGACCAGCCUUCUACUCCAAGGCGGAAGCAAGCAUGGAGAGGUGAGAGCCCUCCGUCUUCAUCUUCUGAAGACGACCAGCCUUCUUCCACCAGGCAGCGAGUACGAAGGUUUGAGAGCCCUUCCUCUUCAUCCUCUGAAGACGACCAGCCUUCUACUCCAAGGCGGAAGCAAGCAUGGAGAGGUGAGAGCCCUCCGUCUUCAUCUUCUGAAGACGACCAGCCUUCUUCCACCAGGCAGCGAGUACGAAGGUUUGAGAGCCCUUCGUCUUCAUCCUCUGAAGACGACCAGCCUUCUACUCCAAGGCGGCAGCAAGAAAAAAGGGCUGAGAGCCCUUUGUCUUCAUUUUCUGAAGACGACGAGCCUUCUACCACAAGGAGGCAGCAACAACGAAGUAAUUUGUACUACUUUGUAGACUUCAACCUUUCUACCACCUUUAGGCAGGAUGGAGGAAUUGGUGAGAACCAUCUGCCCUGCGUUGACAUUGACCACCCUAGCAUCUGGUGGGAGCGCGUACGAAGGGUCAACCCUUCAAACACCUUGAGGCAGGACGGAAGUGGUGACAGCCCUUCCUCUACAUUUUCAUCUUCUGAAGACGACGAGCCUUCUACCACAUGGAGUCAGCAAGAAAGAAGGGCAAAUAGCCUGAGUGCGAGAAAGGAGAGGGAGAAGAUAAAGAAGGAGAGGAAAACGUUUGGUCUGCUUUCAAGAAUAUACAUUUGGUGGCUCGAAUGGAAGAUAGACCGCUGUGCCAGGGAAAUCCAAUCAACCUGUGAGGAUGCGUGCUACCUCCAGGUUCAUGGUCACUUCAGAAAUCCAGAGAUAAUGGCCAAGAUCCAAAAAGAGCUGCUUGACCGAAGGAAUGAGCUGGCCGUUUCAUAUCGCAGACAAGUAAUUAAGUUGGAGAUGGAAGUGAGGAAGCAAAGACUGAAGAGUGAGGACACGCCCCCCCGUUGAUUCUCCCCACACCUGGUACCAACUCUAAUCAGCGCACCUGCAGAGGAAACAUACUCAAAAUCCAGAGACAAUGGCCAAGAUCCAAAAAGAGCUGCUUGACCGAAGGAAUGAGCUGGCCGUUUCAUAUCGCAGACAAGUAAUUAAGUUGGAGAUGGAAGUGAGGAAGCAAAGACUGAAGAGUGAGGACACGACCCCCCCUGUUGAUUCUCCCCACACCUGGUACCAACUCUAAUCAGCGCACCUGCUGCUCAUCCUGCUCCAUCACCUGCCUUCAAAUGCCAGUCGGACUUUCCUCUCCCUGCCCGAUUGUUGCUUACCACUGA